GUCAUAAUUGCGUUGUUUAGGGAACAAAAAGAAUCGUAUUUUCAAUGAAUUAUUUGUCAAAUGAACAAAAAAUUUUCUACUGUCUCAGACGAACAGAGCUCAAUCGGAUAUCAUAUGAAUUGCCAAUCUUUCUAAAAGUAUCAGACCGUAGGAAUCUACAAGCUAUGGAGCCCCACAAGCCCCUGAAGCUAAAAAUUAAGCUACCCACCCGGGUGCAGCCCGAGGUGAUGCCCGAGCCGGGCGAAGCUGGGCUUUACACCAAUAAGAUUCACUACCUGCGCAAAUAUCUGCUGGACGAGCUGGUGGCCAAGAAGUUCGCCAUGGACUUCAUGGAGCCCGUGGACACGGCGGCACUCCAAGUGCCCAAUUACUACACCAUCAUCAAGCGGCCAAUGGAUGUGGGCACGAUCAUCAAGCGGGUGCAGAACCGUUACUAUCAUCGCGUGGAUGAUCUGAUCUGUGACUUCCGAUUGGUAAUUAGCAACUGUUUUACGUUCAAUCGGCCGGGAGAUGUGGUGUACCGUAACUGCCAGAAGCUGGAGAAGUUCUUUCAUCGGGUGCUCAAUAAAAUGCCCAAGGGCGAGGAGAAGCCCAGCACCAAGGAUCCACGCUCGUCGGGCAGGCAGCAUGGCUACGAGAAGGCAUCGGAUGUGGUGCAACGUCAAUGCCAGGAGCAUCUGGAGAAGCUGCAGGCGGCCAUUGCAAAGGAGGACGACCCGACCAUUUGUAAAUAUUUUAACGCAAAACUGGAGUAUUUGUCCCAAAAAGUAGACAGGUUUUACUUCAAGACGAUCGAGGAGUUCCGCUUCGAGGUGACCGGCAUCUUCAAGAAUUUCGACAAUCAGAUUAAGCUGUUCCACGAACUGUUCCACAAGACCUGCGACCAGGAUCCGCACCAGCGCUACUCCAACUGCCAUUGGUCCCAUGAGCUGGAGAGUAAGAAGCCACCGGAAGAGCAGGAUUCAAAUGUCAAACUGGACAAGCGGGACAUAACCGAGGUGCUAUUUGCACUCAAGCGAGCGGAGAGCAGUGUGGAACAUUGUCUGAAGUCCUAUUCCAGGGAGAAGGAGAGCCGUGCCAGGGGCUUGAUCGAGGCGUUCGAUGCCACAGCCAACCGGCUGAAGCAGAAGCUAAUGAAGGGGCGCAGGGUCGAAAUGAAUAGAGAUGAGAGGAGAAAGGAACAAAUGAAAUACUAUGCCCAGAUGCAGGAGCAGCGCGAAACGCAGGAGUCGAUCACACAAGAGGAAGAGAACUCGCCCGAAAGAGACGAGCUGCCGGAGCAGGCCAACUCCUCCGACGAAGAGAAGUACGAAGCGCAGCCCGACGACUGCAACCAAGCCCACUUAACAGACACAAACGUCGAUGUCGAAUACGAUAACUGCCAGCCUGAAUACAAUACAGAUGAGCCGAUCUCCAAUGCGCCGAUUAGCGCUUCAGACUUGCCAAUGGAAAACUGGCAAAUGUCCGAGACCGAAGCGCCACCCACGUGUACCUGGCCGGAGCAGGCCGAAAGCAAUCUCUGCGACAUGACGGAGCAGCUGGACGAGGCAGCAGCAGCAGCUGCCAUUCCGGCAGACUCAACGCUCUGGACAGACUUGCAGCUGAGCAGCAGCAGCGACGACGACAGCGACGAAUCCGACUCAUCGUAAUCCCUUUCGCGGACGCCCAGAGCUAGUCGAUCCUACUCCGCUUAGGUGUCCAUCCAAUUGAUCCUUCUUGUUGCCAACUUAUGGCUAUGCCGCCUGCUGCUGAUUGAUUGGAAGCCCUGCUGCCGCAGGGUGCAAUGACACGGGGCGGCCAAUAAAUUGGAGCACCUUUGAAGGGUUGCCCAUAUCCGUCAAAUGCGCCUAAAUGUAGGCGAAUGUGCGAACUUUGCCAAUCGAUAAAGGUUACUCCUCGUGUGUUUUCCCUCCCACAGCCCCCGAGCUCGAAGUUGUCGCCUAGUUAGUUGGGUGCUCGGCGUGCUUCUGUGCAGAUAAGGCUUACCGGUUGCAGGGGCGGUGGGAGGGGGGGGCAUUGGUGCGCCAGGAGCGAGCACCUCAAGAGCUCUUCGUCGCUUCCGGCCAGUAAUGCAAAUGUCCAAUUUUGCUUUGCAGCGUUUUCCUUCCAUUCAAAAUACAUUUAAUUGCGCGUUUUGUU